CAGCCGCCGCGGUAAUACGAAGGGGGCUAGCGUUGUUCGGAUUUACUGGGCGUAAAGGGCGCGUAGGCGGGCGAAUAAGUCAGGGGUGAAAUCCCAAGGCUCAACCUUGGAACUGCCUUUGAUACUGUUUGUCUUGAGUUCGAGAGAGGUAAGUGGAACUGCGAGUGUAGAGGUGAAAUUCGUAGAUAUUCGCGAGAACACCAGUGGCGAAGGCGGCUUACUGGCUCGAAACUGACGCUGAGGCGCGAAAGCGUGGGGAGCAAACAGGAUUAGAUACCCCGGUAGUCCCUGUCUCUUAUAC
rnacentral:rRNA from 1 species